rnacentral:rRNA from 1 species
GCUGGCGGCAAGCCUUACACAUGCAAGUCGAGCGGUAACAUUUCUAGCUUGCUAGAAGAUGACGAGCGGCGGACGGGUGAGUAAAGCAUAGGAAUCUGGCCAAUAGAGGGGGAUAGCCCGGAGAAAUCCGGAUUAAUACCGCAUACACUCUAUGGAGAAAAGCAGGGGAUCUUCGGACCUUGCGCUAUUGGAUGAGCCUAUGUCGGAUUAGUUAGUUGGUGGGGUAAAGGCCUACCAAGGCAGCGAUCCGUAGCUGGUCUUAGAGGAUGAUCAGCCACAUCGGGACUGAGACACGGCCCGAACUCCUACGGUAGGCAGCAGUGGGGAAUAUUGCGCAAUGGGCGCAAGCCUGAUGCAGCUAUGCCGCGUGUGUGAAGAAGGCCUUAGGGUUGUAAAGCACUUUCAGUAGUGAGGAAAAGUGUUGUGUUAAUAGCGCAAUGCUGAGACGUUAGCUACAGAAGAAGGACCGGCAAACUCCGUG